rnacentral:rRNA from 1 species
AGUGAACGCUGGCGGCAGGCCUAACACAUGCAAGUCGAACGGCAGCACAGUAAGCGCUCUCUCUUACGGUUGGCGACUGGCGGAUGGGUGAGGAAUACAUCGGCAUCUACUUUUUCGUGGGGGACAACGUAGGGAAACUUACGCUAAUACAGCAUACGAUCUACGGGUGAAAGCAGAGGACCUUCGGACCUUGCGUGAUUGAAUGAGCUGAUGUCGGAUUAGCUAGUUGGCGGGGUAAAGACCCACCAAGGCGACGAUCCGUAGCUGGUCUGAGAGGAUGAUCAGCCACACUGGAACUGAGACACGGUCCAGACUCCUACGGGAGGCAGCAGUGGGGAAUAUUGGACAAUGGGCGCAAGCCUGAUCCAGCCAUGCCGCGUGGGUGAAGAAGGCCUUCGGGUUGUAAAGCCCUUUUGUUGGGGAAGAAAAUCAGCGGGUUAAUACCCCGCUGUUCUGACGGUACCCAAAGAAUAAGCACCGGCUAACUACGUG